AGACGCUGAACAUUGUUUUAGCCUUUCUGGAGACCCAAGAGUCAACUACGCCUGUUUUCCUCUGCAACUCUACUGAGCGUAGGCUUUCUGCCCGAUUAUCAAUCGGGGCCUCUUUGAACAGCCUGCACCUGGGAUCCUGCCUGGUGUGUCAUAUCUGGGCAUCUAUUGCUCUGGUGCUCAAGGACUGCUCCUGUGCUGCCAUGAUUUGUGCCUCUGUGCUUUCUUUUUGUCCAACCCUCUCUAACCAUUGGUAGGACUUGUUCAGAUCUGCCACUUCAGUUUUCUGUCGGUGGUAGAUCCCAUGCAGAGGUUUUUCAUCCCAUGAUGGUUGUUCCAACGCCUCCUUUUCCAGUUUACAGUGCCUGAGACAUUCAUAUUUUCCACUGGGCUAAUCUCCUGCAGUCUCUGGUUACCUUGGAAAAGAUGACAAAAAGGCCAGCAGCCUACGAAACAGCGGCAUGCUUCCUGCUCCCUCACCAGGAUGCCACUCGAAUGCAGGCCACUGGGCUUUCCCGCACUUGGCACUUAGCUGUGCUCAGAGGAAUGGCCUGCCUGUCAGUCCGUCUGCAUGCAAGUGUGUAUUGGGGAGUGUAUAUGGGUGGGCGUGUGUUCUACGCAGGCAGUUUUUGGGUGAAAAACGUUUGAUGAACCCCAGAACACUGGGUGGGUGGACAUAUUGGCAUUGAUUCAAUUGAAAUGGGCAAAUCGUUAAAUGGAGUACAGGAAAUAGUGAAAACAAAAAGGUCUUUUAUAAACUUUUUUCUUCUUCUUUUUUUUUAUUUAUAUGGAAAUA